GAUGAACGCUGGCGGCGUGCUUAACACAUGCAAGUCGAGCGAAGCACUUGAACGGAUUUCUUCGGAUUGAAGUUUUUGUGACUGAGCGGCGGACGGGUGAGUAACGCGUGGGUAACCUGCCUCAUACAGGGGGAUAACAGUUAGAAAUGGCUGCUAAUACCGCAUAAGCGCACAGGACCGCAUGGUCUGGUGUAGAAAAACUCCGGUGGUAUGAGAUGGACCCGCGCCUGAUUAGCUAGUGGAGGUACGCCACAGCACGAUCAGUAGCCGCCUGACGAGGGUGAACGGCACAUUGGGACUGAGACACGGGCCCAGACUCCUACGGGAGC
rnacentral:rRNA from 1 species